rnacentral:rRNA from 1 species
UACGAAGGGUGCAAGCGUUACUCGGAAUUACUGGGCGUAAAGCGUGCGUAGGUGGUUCGUUAAGUCUGAUGUGAAAGCCCUGGGCUCAACCUGGGAAUUGCAUUGGAUACUGGCGAGCUAGAGUGCGGUUGAGGAUGGCGGAAUUCCCGGUGUAGCAGUGAAAUGCGUAGAGAUCGGGAGGAACAUCUGUGGCGAAGGCGGCCAUCUGGACCAGCACUGACACUGAGGCACGAAAGCGUGGGGAGCAAACAGGAUUAGAUACCGGGUAGU